UUGUGCCAGCCGCCGCGAAAUACGUAGGGUGCGAGCGUUAAUCGUAAUUACUGGGCGUCCAGUUACAUCAGGUUUUUUCGUAAGCUGGAGGUGAAAUCCCCGGACUUAACCUGUGACUGGCCUUCAGGACUGCGAGGCUAGAGUGCGGAAGAGGGAGGUGUUAUUCCACGUGUAGCAGUGAAAUGCGUAGAGAUGUGGAGCAACACCGAUGGAGAAGGCCGCCUCCUGGGCCAGCACUGACGCUCAUGCACGAAAGCGUGGGGAGCAAACAGGAUUAGAUACCCUGGUAGCCCACGCCAUAAACGAUGUCAACUAGGUGUGGGGGAAGGUGAUUCUCUUAGUACCGCAGCUAACGCGUGAAGUUGACCGCCUGGGGAGUACGGCCGCAAGUUUAAAACUCAAAGGAUUGGACGGGGACCCGCACAAGCGGUGGAUGAUGUGGAUUAUUUCGAUGCAACGCGAAAAACCUUACUUACCCUUGACAUGCUUGGAACCCUGCUGAGAGGUGGGGGUGCCCGAAAGGGGAGCCGGGACACAGGUGCUGCAUGUAUGUCGUCAGCUCGUGUCGUGAGAUGUUGGGUUAAGUCCCGCAACGAGCGCAACCUGUGUCGUUAUUUGCCACCAUUUAGGUGGGGCACUUUAACGAGACUGCCGGUGACAAACCGGGAGAAGGGUGGGAGAUGACGUCAAGCUCUUCAUGGCCUAUAUGGGGAGGGUCUUCACACGUCACACAAUGGCCGCAUACAGAGUGGUGAGAAGCCCGCGAGGAGACGCACACUCCCAAAAAGUGCGUCGUACUGCAGGGAUGCAGUCUGCCACCUCGACUGCAUGAAGGCGUCAAUC
rnacentral:rRNA from 1 species